rnacentral:rRNA from 1 species
UACGAAGGGGGCUAGCGUUGCUCGGAAUCACUGGGCGUAAAGCGCACGUAGGCGGCUUGUUAAGUCAGGGGUGAAAUCCUGGAGCUCAACUCCAGAACUGCCUUUGAUACUGAGAGCUUGAGUCCGGGAGAGGUGAGUGGAACUGCGAGUGUAGAGGUGAAAUUCGUAGAUAUUCGCAAGAACACCAGUGGCGAAGGCGGCUCACUGGCCCGGUACUGACGCUGAGGUGCGAAAGCGUGGGGAGCAAACAGG